GCUGGUGUAGCCCAAUCGGCAGAGGCAGCCGACUUAAAAUCGGCCCAGUGGGGGUUCGAAUCCCUCCACCAGCACCA
rnacentral:tRNA from 3 species